rnacentral:misc_RNA from 1 species
CGCACCUUGCGCCUCUUGGUAUUCCGAGAGGCAUGCCUGUUUGAGUGUCUUAUAAAAUCAAUCCCCACGGGUUUCUUGACCUGGCGGUGGACUUGGAGUUGGGCGUCUGCCGGUCACACGGCUCGCCUUAAAGACCUUAGUGGGAUCAUCGGCCUAUGGCUUGACGUAAUAAGUUUCGUCUCGUCCGGCCCCUCGAGCCCGCUCACAACCCGCCCUCGGGCAACUACUUUAUGCUAGACCUCAAAUCAGGUAGGACUACCCGCUGAACUUAA